rnacentral:tRNA from 1 species
GCUUUCUUAGCUCACGUUGGUAGAGCACCCGGCCGAUAACCGGGAGGUAACUGGAUCGUCACCAGUAGAAAGCACCA